AUUGAACGCUGGCGGCAUGCUUUACACUUGCAAGUCGAACGGUAACAGGUUAAGCUGACGAGUGGCGAACGGGUGAGUAAUGAAUCGGAACGUGCCCGAUCGCUGGAGAUAACGCAGAGAAAGAUGCGCUAAUACCGCAUACGAUCUGAGGAUGAAAGCGGGGGAACGUAAUGACUGGCGAGAUCGGAGCGGCCGAUGUCAGACUAGGUAGUUGGUGGGGUAAAGGCUCACCAAGCCAACGGUCUGUAGCUGGUCGGAGAGGACGACCAGCCACACUGGGACUGAGAAACGGCCCAGACUCCUACGGGAGGCAGCAGUGGGGAAUUUUGGACAAUGGGCGAAAGCCUGGUCCAGCAAUGCCGCGUGUAGGAAGAAGGCCUUCGGGUUGUAAACUGCUUUUGUACGGAGCGAAAAGGCCCUCUCUAAUACAGUGGGCUCAUGACGGUACCGUAAGAAUAAGCACCGGCUAACUACGUGCCAGCCGCCGCAGUAA
rnacentral:rRNA from 1 species